UGCAAGUCGAGUGCGCAGUUCUCUGUAGCAAUACAGGGGAUGGGCGCAAGGCGCACGGGUGCGUAACACGUGGGCAAUCUGCCCUCGGAUGGGGGAUAACUCGCCGAAAGGCGAGCUAAUACCGCAUGACAUUCCUGGGACUCCGGUCCCGGGACUCAAAGGCCGCAAGGUCGUCUGAGGAGGAGCCCGCGCCCGAUUAGCUAGUUGGUGAGGUAACGGCUCACCAAGGCUUUGAUCGGUAGCCGGUCUGAGAGGAUGGCCGGCCACACUGGAACUGAGACACGGUCCAGACUCCUACGGGAGGCAGCAGUGGGGAAUAUUGCGCAAUGGGCGAAAGCCUGACGCAGCGACGCCGCGUGGGGGAUGAAGCUUCUCGGAGUGUAAACCCCUUUCGACCCGGACGAAUGACCCGCAAGGGUUUGACGGUACGGGUAUAAGAAGCCCCGGCUAACUACGUGCCAGCAGCCGCGGUAAUACGUAGGGGGCCAGCGUUGCUCGGAAUUACUGGGCGUAAAGGGUUCGUAGGUGGUGCGGCAAGUCGGAAGUGAAAUCUCUGGGCUUAACUCAGAGGCUGCUUUCGAAACUGCCGUGCUCGAGUGCGGGAGAGGCCAGUGGAAUUGCAGGUGUAGCGGUGAAAUGCGUAGAUAUCUGCAGGAACACCCGUGGCGAAGGCGGCUGGCUGGACCGCAACUGACACUGAGGAACGAAAGCUAGGGGAGCAAACAGGAUUAGAUACCCUGGUAGUCCUAGCCCUAAACCAUCAGAACUUGGGGUGGCUCGCGUAGGCGAGUCGUCCCGUAGCUAACGCGUUAAGUUCUGCGCCUGGGGAGUACGUCGCAAGACUGAAACUCAAAGGAAUUGACGGGGGCCCGCACAAGCGUGGAACUGUGUUCAAUUC
rnacentral:rRNA from 1 species